UUCGGUGGUUAUAGCGUAGGGGAAACGCCCGGUUACAUUCCGAACCCGGAAGCUAAGCCUUACAGCGCCGAUGGUACUGCGAGGGGGGACCCUGGUGGGAGAGUAGGACGCCGCCGAAC
rnacentral:rRNA from 1 species